ACGGUCAUCUGAAAUACGACAUGGUUUGUGGACAUGAGCUCAUACGCACCUCGCAUCCUGCUCCGCUGUAACCGCCGCCGCUGGUAGCUUGCCGUCUGCACACACACACACACACACACGCACGCACGCACGCACGCACACACACACCACUUCUCCGACCAUCGCUACUUUUGUAAAAGAAGCAAAAAAAACCAAAAACAACUAUUGCACUCGUACGUCUUAUUGCAUAUCUGACGCGCUUCUUAGCCCACACACACACACACACACACACACACACGCACACAACAACACACACUCGGAGGGAAGAGACAAGUCCUGUCACCAGCGUGGAUAGAGGCAGGCAGGGUGGAGGGGGGGGGCUCGCCUGCUUUAGCAGUGCUAGUAGCAGCCGGGGGACUGUGGAAAUUUGACUACUGCUAAAAACCCAACUGUAAAUACAUGUGGCUGGCUUCGAACGAUGCCCUAAUCGACCGGAGUCGCCAGCCGUCCAGCAACGAGGACGUUUCGCCACCCGAAGCGGACUGCGAUUAAGAUGGAGAGCCAGAAAAAGAGGAGGAAAUACUCCACGAGCAGCAACGACUCAGACACCACUGACAGUCAGGUGACGUCGUGGUCCAGAUCGGCCAACAACACAGGGACCAGCAGCACCUGGGUCCUACACCAACACAAGAAACCAUCGGAGGU